UUGACAGUUUUGGAAUAAAUCCUUUAUUCAUCAGCAGAGCAGGUAGAGGAAGUGGCUGUUUCUCUUGCCUUGCCAAUUUUUGCUCAUCUGACCUAGAGGUAACACCUCAAGCUUGGAGUUCAUUCUCCAUGUCUUUCUAAUCAUUGGGCUCU
rnacentral:sRNA from 1 species